rnacentral:snoRNA from 1 species
AGGACUAUACUUUCAGGGAUCAUUUCUAUAGUUCGUUACUAGAGAAGUUUCUCUGAUUGUGUAGAAUCUCAGUUACCUCUCAGUUUGCAGCAGAGG